rnacentral:rRNA from 1 species
AUGAUCGAUACGAUGUUGCAGCCGGGCGAAAGUGUUACCGAAGACACGACUCUGGACGACGACGUGGUGACAGAGAUCCUGCUGAGGCUGCCGUCCGCCUCCGUGCUCCGUUCCCGAGUCGUGUGCAAGGCGUGGCACCGCAUCACAACGGACCCCUCGUUCCUCGCCGCCCACGCCGACCGGCGGCCUGCCGAGCUGCUCGUCGGAUCAAGAGGAGAACCAUGUUUUCUAGACACCAUCCCGCUCUCUCUGCAACUCGACGAUUUGACGAGGCGCCGGAGCCAACUCCACUGCCCCAAGCACUGUGAGAUUGGCGCCCUGCUGGGUUGCUGCGACGGGCUCCUAUUGUUCCAGAAAUCCCGUGAAAGUUUGUUCAGGUCCGAUUUCUUCGUGUGCAACCCGGUGACCAAGCAGGGGGCUAGGUUGGACUUGAAGCCACCUUCUUGCCCCGACGUGGCCAGGCUGUGCGGAUUCUACCGCCACGGCCCGUCCGGCGAGCACCGGCUUCUUGUUCUCGCCAAUGAACUAAAACCUGGCUUGCCGGCACACUAUGUUUACUCUCUCGCCGCCGCCGUCACCGCCAGCUCACAACUUCCUCGCCGUCUCGGACCAGUGGCCGACGGUGUAGUCGUAGACGAGGUCGCCUAUUUCAUCAACCACUACGCCCACCACAGGGGCAAAAUUCACUGGACGAUCCAUCCUCUGGCCAGAAGCGCCGAGAAGAUCCUGGCGUUCGACACGGUGUCCGAGGAUUUCCGGCUGAUAUCGUGCCCGCCGUGGCCGAGGGAUCACUACCGCAACGAAGAUCUCUGCCUCUUGGAGUUGGACGGUACGUUAGCCGUGACGGCCCCUGAAUUCGAUGGAGAUACCACGGAGCUAUGGGUGCUCGAGGACUACGACGACGACCAGAGCUGGUUACACCGCUUCCGGAUCGUCCUGCCGCCGCGGUUCUCUCCACAUUGGUGGACGGGCACCGGCGCCCCCAACGUCGUCUUCGUGGGAAGCUACCUAAAUAAUUUCAAGGCGCUGUACAAUCUUACCGAGAAGAGGAUCAUAAAGCAGAUAGAAUUUGUCAAUGGCACACCGGUUUACUGCUACCUCUUCAAGGAUAGCCUUGUGCCGCACGCCUUCUUGAAUCCGUAUUAA